rnacentral:rRNA from 1 species
CGCCCUUAGAGUUUGAUCAUGGCUCAGAUUGAACGCUGGCGGCAGGCUUAACACAUGCAAGUCGAGCGGUAGGAGAGCUUGCUCUCUACGAGCGGCGGACGGGUGAGUAAUGUCUGGGAAACUGCCUGAUGGAGGGGGAUAACUACUGGAAACGGUAGCUAAUACCGCAUAACGUCGCAAGACCAAAGAGGUUCGUCUUGCCAUCAGAUGUGCCCAGAUGGGAUUAGCUAGUAGGUGGGGUAACGGCUCACCUAGGCGACGAUCCCUAGCUGGUCUGAGAGGAUGACCAGCCACACUGGAACUGAGACACGGUCCAGACUCCUACGGGAGG